AAAAAAAAAAAAAAAAAAAAAAAAUGGAGCCUUUAUCAUUUAUUUUCUCAUAAAUAGACAAUUAUGGCAAGAGACGAACAAUCUCAAGAAAAGAUACAACCACAAAUCUUGUAAAAUAAUUAAUGCAGAUCCAGCAAAAUACUACAAAAAACACAUGUAUAAUUCCCAUGUUACCUUUCCCUUGAACCCACUUCAUUUUCAGAAGCCUAAUGUCAAUGUCAGCAUCUCAGAAGGCGAGCACAGUAAUGCCAGAAAAUCUCUCAUCCUUUUGUGAUUAAUUGGAAUCACUUCAAUAAUAAAUAUCCCAUCCCUACGAUGCCGACGCUUUGAUUCACUUUUGUGCAAGGCCAGCUUAGAAUGAAACAACUUAUUUGGUAAUAAUUGGAGCUAUUCUUUCAUACCAUAUCCUCGUUCACUUCGACUAAGGUAGACAAAAAAGACGGACAAAUUUGAAGGAGCAGGGCCAGGAUUGUAAAGGGGGCAUCUCCAGCAAAUAGUUAUAUCAAAAUUUUUUCUUUUUUUCUUUUGACAUAUGUACAAAGUACUUGUUGGACACGCAUACCUCAGAUCUUUUAAUCUUGGCCUUUUCUUCCUCAAAUGAGUAGUUGGUUAUCUGUGACUUUCACAAAUGUGCACGGCACGGCAAUGAGUGAAAAAACUGUCACCACCUCGCAACUGAAUGAAAGAGGUAUCAAGCGCAAUUUCAGAUCUGUCAAGAUUUACUAUAUUGUUCAGACUAGUUGAAGAAAUAGGGAGAUUCCAGGACAUCUCUGAGAUCAAAGUCUCCUCGCUCUGGUAAGGGAGGAAAUUUCAACUUAGGGAAUGACGUUUGAAAGCCCUCC
rnacentral:misc_RNA from 1 species